rnacentral:rRNA from 1 species
GGAAGGAUCAUUAUUGAAUGAACUUGGUGUGGUUGUUGCUGGUCCUCUCGGGGGCAUGUGCACACCCAUCAUCCUCAUCUCUCCACCUGUGCACCUCUUGUAGACCUGGAUUGACUUUCCGAGGCAACUCGGUCGGGAAGAUUGCUGCGCUCUGUGAGCCAGCUUUCUUUGCAUGUCCAGGACUAUGUUUUUCAUAUACCCCUAUAGAAUGUAACAGAAUGUAUCAUUGGGCCUUGUGCCUAUAAACCUUAUACAACUUUCAGCAACGGAUCUCUUGGCUCUCGCAUCGAUGAAGAACGCAGCGAAAUGCGAUAAGUAAUGUGAAUUGCAGAAUUCAGUGAAUCAUCGAAUCUUUGAACGCACCUUGCGCUCCUUGGUAUUCCGAGGAGCAUGCCUGUUUGAGUGUCAUUAAAUUCUCAACCUUAUUAGCUUUUGUUGAUAAUGGAUUGGAUGUGGGGGUUUCUUUUGCUGGCUUCUUCACAGAGAUCAGCUCCCCUUAAAUGCAUUAGCUGGUGACCCGCGUGGACCAUCUAUUGGUGUGAUAAUUAUCUACGCCGUGGAUGUCUGCAAUCAUAUGGGUUUUGCACUGCUUCUAACCCGUCUGUUCAUUCGGACAAUACAUGACAAUUUGACCUCAAAUCAGG